rnacentral:rRNA from 1 species
GACGAACGCUGGCGGCGUGCUUAACACAUGCAAGUCGCACGGAGUGGCGAACGGGUGAGUAACACGUGGGUGACCUGCCCUGCACUUCGGGAUAAGCCUGGGAAACUGGGUCUACUACCGGAUAGUGUGGGAUGGGCCCGCGGCCUAUCGGCUUGUUGGUGGGGUAAUGGCCUACCAAGGCGGCGCCGGGUACCCGGCCUGAGAGGGUGGACGGCCUCAUGGGGACUGAGACACGGACCAGAGGCCUACGGGGGGCAGCAGUGGGGAAUAUUACACAAUGGGGGGAAGCCUGAUGCAGCGACGCUGGGGGGGUGAUGACGGCCUUCGGGUGGUAAACUCCUUGCGCUAUCGACGCGGUAGAUGGAGAAGAAGCACCGGCUAACUACGUGCCAGCAGCCGCGGUAAUUC